ensembl:lncRNA
CUAGCUACUGUCAGCAAUGGCUAACCUUCGUUUUUAUCCCAUGCCUUUUUGCAGCCUUGGGAUUUCUUAUAACUAUAUUGUGAAUCUGGACAAAACAAGGCGGGAAAGGGGCGGCAGAGGCUCAUUGAAGACCCAAAUAAAUGCCUCUUUGUUCAGUGAUGACUGAAACAAUGAAAAAAUACCACCCAGGAGCUAGACCACAUGCAGAUGUGAACCACAGCUUCGCCAGAUGGUUUCAAAACCAAACUAAGAUGGUCAGAUGGUUUGCUGUACUUUGCAGAAUGCAACAUAUCUUCCUGACAACUACUUAAGUUGAACUGCUUAAAUUCAUGGAGCUCUGAACUGCAAGGAUUGGUGAAGAAGAGGUAUUUAACACUUCUUUACUUCUGACUCUCCUUUUUUUCCCACUGUACCUUCAAAAGGUGUGAAUUUUGUAGAUGUAACUGAUGCCUCUUAGCCCUUUAUCUUGAUCUUCCUUUUAGCUAGUUUGAGGAUAAUGUCACUGUGCAAGGCAGCCACACCAGUUUUGAGGAUCUUAACCAUGCUGGUGAUUCAAAGAAAAGAUUACUGCAACUCAUAAGCCUCUCAUUGCUAUUAAAAGUUGUUGGAUGACUUCGGAUGUCAUCUUUAGAGGAUUUGCUCCUCUUUAACUCAACAAAUCUUAAGAAAAACAUGUGCCAAAUCACAAUGCAUGUUUAUUUCCUAUUUGUUCAGUAAUAACGUAGGUCAUGUUCUGAAUUCAGACGUACUAUAUUCUUACAUACCUAUCUCAUUAAAAAUUGCUGGUAAGCAUACUUAUAUGUAUUAGUCCCGUAGAAGACUUUGUCACGUUACCUUGUAUUGCAUAAGAAGAAUGAGAAUCCAGCCACAUGCUGUUCGACAUUCAGCAUCAGUUGAUAGUGACCAUGCGUUCACAAUUCUUUUCAGUAAAAUAACAUAUAUAGCUCUAACACAUAGCUCUGAGCACUGGGCUCAUUGAUGAGAAUAAAAAUACAAAGUUAAACA